UGAGGAAUAUUGGUCAAUGGACGCAAGUCUGAACCAGCCAUGCCGCGUGCAGGAAGACGGCUCUAUGAGUUGUAAACUGCUUUUGUAUAAGGGUAAACCCAGAUACGUGUAUCUGGCUGAAAGUACUAUACGAAUAAGGACCGGCUAACUCCGUGCCAGCAGCCGCGGUAAUACGGAGGGUCCAAGCGUUAUCCGGAUUUAUUGGGUUUAAAGGGUGCGUAGGCGGCCGAUUAAGUUAGAGGUGAAAUCCCGUGGCUCAACCACGGAACUGCCUCUGAUACUGGUUGGCUAGAAAAUGGUUGCUGUGGGCGGAAUGUGUAGUGUAGCGGUGAAAUGCUUAGAGAUUACACAGAACACCGAUUGCGAAGGCAGCUCACAAAACCAAUUUUGACGCUGAGGC
rnacentral:rRNA from 1 species